CUUUACCCCAGUCGGACGCAAAACUCCUCAUUUUGGCUAACGAGGAAGUAAAGGACCGCAUCAAAAAGAAAGACAACACCACAACAGUUACAAAAACAGUGAGAGACAGCGGUCAAGGACUACAGACCGCCUGAAUGAAUGGUCCAUGCUGACUGUCUCAUCAGUACUGUGUCUCAGCGGUCUGGUUUUGGCUCGGUCCAUGACUCCUCAGUCUAUUGGACCUCUGGAAUCUGUCAGUGCCGAUCACAAGACCCCCAGGAACCACAGCAGGCCUACAGUCAUGCCCAUGCCAGGACAAG